ACCCCAAAGUCGAGGAAUGUACAGUAACAGAAUGAGAAGCUACAAGCAAGAAAUGGGAAAACUCGAAACAGAUUUUUGGUUAUUGAAGACACAGAGCCAGAAUCAUUUUGGGCUUAAGGAGAAUGUUGGUCUCACUACUCAAAUUGACUGUUUCGUGGGCAGAGGCACUACCUGUAUUCCCAGAAGGACCAUAGAUCAGAGAACAAACUCAGAAUGCAAUACAAUGUCACCUUCUUCAUGUAGCCACUGAAUUUGACUUGGAACUUUAUUAAACAAACUCAUUCUCCUCUGAUAACAUUAA